rnacentral:lncRNA from 1 species
UACAAUGACAAAGGAAAAGGUCACACACACACCAGCAAGACAAAGAGCAAUAAAAAUAUAUCGCACCACCCUAAAUCAUUCCGUCCUGCACUCAGGCAUCCCGUCCCUCUCGCGGUUGAAAACCACAACAGGUAUAGUCUGAACUUUGUUCCUUCUGGAACGAGAAAUUUUCCUGAAUUGGUUAAUGAUCUUGCAAACAUUAUAAGAAUGAAUAAUACACAAAUAAAAGAAUGUAUUCAAUGGACUAUAGCAGAUACCUAUCAUAGAUUACAUAGAAAUAAUAGCAAAUUUGAAUGCAGAAAAAUACAAAAAGGAAUUUUUUUCUAGAAAGUCUACAAAAUUAUUUAUAUCUAUUAAAGAAUCUCUGGCAUAAAACAAAAUGGGCUGAAAAAAAGAUGUUAUUGUUACAUGUGUUUUUAAAAGUAAAUCUAUUGUUUUUUCCAAGAAUUAUAUUUAAGACAUCUGGAGAAUAUGCUACCAAUACAUCCAUGUAUUCAGUUAGGACAAAAUCCUACUGACAAAAUAUAUCAUUAGGUUUAUAAAUUUAUUAUCAUUGAAAAAUUUUCAUUACCUAUCUUUUAUCUAGAGAAAGCCAUUUCUAUAUUAUGUCAAGGAUAUGAAUAUUUUGUAGCCUUCUUGAAAAGAUUGGGAGUAUCACUCUCAUAAAUGAAAAUAUACUGAUCACUUUAGAUUUUAAGUCGUUUUAUCCAAGUAUAGAACUGGAGCUCACUUCCGUUUCCC